GACGCAUCUUGUCUCGAGGACCCCCAAUAAAUGAUGACGAAAGCACUGUUUGUUUUCCGACCGCAUCUCCCCUAUCUUGUCCUGCAUGAAUGCUAUCUAGAAGGCCUUGGUAUAGAUCCGCCCUUAUCUCUUUUUGAUGAUUCCAUAUGAAGUCCAGUCGUGAGCUCUCAAUUUUGAUGUAUGUAUCCACGGCGAAUUGUUGGAAAAGUCGUCCGCCGUAUAGUAUUGGGUUA
rnacentral:lncRNA from 1 species